UACAGAGGGUGCAAACGUUGUUCGGAAUUACUGGGCGUAAAGCGCGCGCAGGCGGCUCGUCAAGCCUGACGUGAAAGCCCCGGCUCAACCGGGGAGGGUCGUCGGGGACUGGCGGGCUUGAGGUCGGCAGGGGUUGGUGGAAUUCCCGGUGUAGUGGUGGAAGUGCGUAGAGAUCGGGAGGAACACCCGUGGCGAAGGCGGCCAACUGGGCCGGACCUGACGCUGAGGCGCGAAGGCGUGGGGAGCGAACGGG
rnacentral:rRNA from 1 species